CUCUCGUACCAAAGUCUUGGCAAACAAUAUCACCUAAGACCACAUCUGUGAACAUUUCUGAAAUCUCUGAGACUUCACCAAAUCCAACAUGUGAAGUGCUUAUCCUCCAGGCCCAUCAAAUCCGUCUUUGAUUCGAGUAUCCAGUUCUACCCCAUGCGACUUCUGUAACGCGAAGGGGCAGAGAAGACCCCCCACAUACAAGAAUACUUGAGCCAUCAC